CAGGCUUAACACAUGCAAGUCGAGGGGCAGCAUGGUCUUAGCUUGCUAAGGCCGAUGGCGACCGGCGCACGGGUGAGUAACACGUAUCCAACCUGCCGUCUACUCUUGGACAGCCUUCUGAAAGGAAGAUUAAUACAAGAUGGCAUCAUGAGUCCGCAUGUUCACAUGAUUAAAGGUAUUCCGGUAGACGAUGGGGAUGCGUUCCAUUAGAUAGUAGGCGGGGUAACGGCCCACCUAGUCUUCGAUGGAUAGGGGUUCUGAGAGGAAGGUCCCCCACAUUGGAACUGAGACACGGUCCAAACUCCUACGGGAGGCAGCAGUGAGGAAUAUUGGUCAAUGGGCGAGAGCCUGAACCAGCCAAGUAGCGUGAAGGAUGACUGCCCUAUGGGUUGUAAACUUCUUUUAUAAAGGAAUAAAGUCGGGUAUGGAUACCCGUUUGCAUGUACUUUAUGAAUAAGGAUCGGCUAACUCCGUGCCAGCAGCCGCGGUAAUACGGAGGAUCCGAGCGUUAUCCGGAUUUAUUGGGUUUAAAGGGAGCGUAGAUGGAUGUUUAAGUCAGUUGUGAAAGUUUGCGGCUCAACCGUAAAAUUGCAGUUGAUACUGGAUAUCUUGAGUGCAGUUGAGGCAGGCGGAAUUCGUGGUGUAGCGGUGAAAUGCUUAGAUAUCACGAAGAACUCCGAUUGCGAAGGCAGCCUGCUAAGCUGCAACUGACAUUGAGGCUCGAAAGUGUGGGUAUCAAACAGGAUUAGAUACCCUGGUAGUCCACACGGUAAACGAUGAAUACUCGCUGUUUGCGAUAUACUGCAAGCGGCCAAGCGAAAGCGUUAAGUAUUCCACCUGGGGGGUACGCCGGCAACGGUGAAACUCAAAGGAAUUGACGGGGGCCCGCACAAGCGGAGGAACAUGUGGUUUAAUUCGAUGAUACGCGAGGAACCUUACCCGGGCUUAAAUUGCAGAUGAAUUACGGUGAAAGCCGUAAGCCGCAAGGCAUCUGUGAAGGUGCUGCAUGGUUGUCGUCAGCUCGUGCCGUGAGGUGUCGGCUUAAGUGCCAUAACGAGCGCAACCCUUGUUGUCAGUUACUAACAGGUUCCGCUGAGGACUCUGACAAGACUGCCAUCGUAAGAUGUGAGGAAGGUGGGGAUGACGUCAAAUCAGCACGGCCCUUACGUCCGGGGCUACACACGUGUUACAAUGGGGGGUACAGAGGGCCGCUACCACGCGAGUGGAUGCCAAUCCCCAAAACCUCUCUCAGUUCGGACUGGAGUCUGCAACCCGACUCCACGAAGCUGGAUUCGCUAGUAAUCGCGCAUCAGCCACGGCGCGGUGAAUACGUUCCCGGGCCUUGUACACACCGCCCGUCAAGCCAUGGGAGCCGGGGGUACCUGAAGUGCGUAACCGCGAGGAGCGCCCUAGGGUAAAACUGGUGACUG
rnacentral:rRNA from 1 species